rnacentral:rRNA from 1 species
AAAUUGAAGAGUUUGAUCAUGGCUCAGAUUGAACGCUGGCGGCAGGCCUAACACAUGCAAGUCGAACGGUAACAGGAAACAGCUUGCUGUUUCGCUGACGAGUGGCGGACGGGUGAGUAAUGUCUGGGAAACUGCCCGAUGGAGGGGGAUAACUACUGGAAACGGUAGCUAAUACCGCAUAACGUCGCAAGACCAAAGAGGGGGACCUUCGGGCCUCUUGCCAUCGGAUGUGCCCAGAUGGGAUUAGCUAGUUGGUGAGGUAACGGCUCACCAAGGCGACGAUCCCUAGCUGGUCUGAGAGGAUGACCAGCCACACUGGAACUGAGACACGGUCCAGACUCCUACGGGAGGCAGCAGUGGGGAAUAUUGCACAAUGGGCGCAAGCCUGAUGCAGCCAUGCCGCGUGUAUGAAGAAGGCCUUCGGGUUGUAAAGUACUUUCAGCGGGGAGGAAGGGAGUAAAGUUAAUACCUUUGCUCAUUGACGUUACCCGCAGAAGAAGCACCGGCUAACUCCGUGCCAGCAGCCGCGGUAAUACGGAGGGUGCAAGCGUUAAUCGGAAUUACUGGGC